rnacentral:rRNA from 1 species
UACGGAGGGGGCUAGCGUUGUUCGGAAUUACUGGGCGUAAAGCGCACGUAGGCGGCUUUGUAAGUUAGAGGUGAAAGCCCGGGGCUCAACUCCGGAACUGCCUUUAAGACUGCAUCGCUAGAAUUGUGGAGAGGUGAGUGGAACUGCGAGUGUAGAGGUGAAAUUCGUAGAUAUUCGCAAGAACACCAGUGGCGAAGGCGGCUCACUGGCCCGAUACUGACGCUGAGGUGCGAAAGCGUGGGGAGCAAACAGG